GGUGAUGUGGUUCAGUAGUAGAGUGUUUGUUUGGAACGCCGAGGUCCUGGGUUUCCUUCCCAGCAACCCCU
rnacentral:tRNA from 1 species